UACGAAGGGGGCUAGCGUUGCUCGGAAUCACUGGGCGUAAAGCGCACGUAGGCGGCUCCUUAAGUCGGGGGUGAAAUCCUGGAGCUCAACUCCAGAACUGCCUUCGAUACUGAGGAUCUCGAGUCCGGGAGAGGUGAGUGGAACUGCGAGUGUAGAGGUGAAAUUCGUAGAUAUUCGCAAGAACACCAGUGGCGAAGGCGGCUCACUGGCCCGGUACUGACGCUGAGGUGCGAAAGCGUGGGGAGCAAACAGG
rnacentral:rRNA from 1 species